rnacentral:rRNA from 1 species
CGAGCACGCGCGUGUGGCAUAUCAAUAAGCGGAGGAAAAGAAACUAACAAGGAUUCCCUUAGUAACGGCGAGUGAAGCGGGAAGAGCUCAAAUUUGAAAUCUUCAAGGUUCUACCUUGACGAAUUAGUAGUUUAUAGAAGUGUUUUCUGUUAGUAGGAGUGGCAAAAGUUCUUUGGAAUAGGACAUCAUAGAGGGUGAGAAUCCCGUAUUUGGUCAUUCUUUCUAGCUUUGUGAUACACUUUCAACGAGUCGGAUUGUUUGGGAAUGCAGUCCAAAAUGGGUGGUAAAUUUCAUCUAAAGCUAAAUAUUGGCGAGAGACCGAUAGCGAACAAGUACCGUGAGGGAAAGAUGAAAAGAACUUUGAAAAGAGAGUUAAACAGUACGUGAAAUUGUCAAAAGGGAAGCGUUUGACACCAGUGUUGUUUUUCCGAAAAUCAAUUACGAAUGUUUUGUUUUUGAGGAGUUAUGACUUCAUCGGCUUGCUCCUUUCUUUAUGAAACUUUCUUAAUGCACUUUUCGGUUAACAAGUCAACAUCAAUUUCUUUUGUUGUAAAAGAGUCAUUGGAAGGUGGCUUUCUUUUCGGAGAAAGUGUUUAUAGCCUUUGGCUUCUGCAAUCGGAGAGAUUGAGGUCUGCAGCGUAGAUCCUUCGGGGUUAGAUGCAUUUGUGCUAAGUUAUAGCCUUUCAUAGACAACUUGUUGACUAUGAUCAGUCAUGUAGCUUACUCGCUUAUGCUAUUUUACCUACGCUUAGGAUGUUGAGCGCAUGUCUCUCUCU